rnacentral:rRNA from 1 species
AGAGUUUGAUCCUGGCUCAGGACGAACGCUGGCGGCGUGCUUAACACAUGCAAGUCGAACGAUGAUGCCCUGCUUGCAGGGUGGAUUAGUGGCGAACGGGUGAGUAACACGUGGGUGAUCUGCCCUGCACUUCGGGAUAAGCCUGGGAAACUGGGUCUAAUACCGGAUAUGACCCUCCUUUAGUGUGGGGGGUGGAAAGCUUUUGCGGUGUGGGAUGAGCCUGCGGCCUAUCAGCUUGUUGGUGGGGUAAUGGCCUACCAAGGCGUCGACGGGUAGCCGGCCUGAGAGGGUGAUCGGCCACAUUGGGACUGAGACACGGCCCAGACUCCUACGGGAGGCAGCAGUGGGGAAUAUUGCACAAUGGGCGAAAGCCUGAUGCAGCGACGCCGCGUGGGGGAUGAAGGCCUUCGGGUUGUAAACUCCUUUCGCUAGGGACGAAGAUGUAUUUUGACGGUACCUGGAGAAGAAGCACCGGCUAACUACGUGCCAGCCGCCGCGGUAAUAC